rnacentral:tRNA from 1 species
UCCCUAGUGGCUCAGACGGUAAAAGCGUCUGCUUACAAUGUGGGAAACCUGGGUUCGAUCCCUGGCUUGGGAA